UGGGGAAUAUUGCGCAAUGGGCGAAAGCCUGACGCAGCGACGCCGCGUGGGGGAUGAAUGCCUUCGGGUUGUAAACCCCUUUCGGCAGGGACGAAGCGAUCGUGACGGUACCUGCAGAAGAAGUCCCGGCUAACUACGUGCCAGCAGCCGCGGUAAGACGUAGGGGACGAGCGUUGUCCGGAUUCAUUGGGCGUAAAGCGCGCGUAGGCGGUUACGCAAGUCGGUUGUGAAAAUCCGGGGCUCAACCCCGGACCUGCAUCCGAUACUGCGUGACUAGAGGUAGGUAGGGGAGAUCGGAAUUCCUGGUGUAGCGGUGAAAUGCGCAGAUAUCAGGAGGAACACCGGUGGCGAAGGCGGAUCUCUGGGCCUUACCUGACGCUCAGGCGCGAAAGCUAGGGGAGCGAACAGGAUUAGAUACCCCCGUAGUCC
rnacentral:rRNA from 1 species